rnacentral:lncRNA from 1 species
GUCUGUCUCUGCUGGAGGGGGGGGGGGGGUUGGGGUCUGGGGGUUGAGCGUUGAAUCACCACCUGCUGUAUUCUGUCUGUCUGUGGUGACUGGCGCCCCCUGCUGUUAAACGGUGUGAAGAACCCAGUCCAGCUCCCCUGGUGUUGUUGGUUGUGUCUAAUAGCAGAAUAUCGUCCAGAGUCUUGUAAUGUUCCAUUGCAUGUAGAUGACAGUGAGAUCUGGGUUAGUUAGUCUCUUCAACACAGACGGGUUAGUUAGUCUCUUCAACACAGACGGGUUAGUUAGUCUCUUCAACACAGACGGGUUAGUUAGUCUCUUCAACACAGACGGGUUAGUUAGUCUCUUCAACACAGACGGGUUAGUUAGUCUCUUCAACACAGACACGGGUUGGUUAGUUAGUCUCUUCAACACAGACGGGUUAGUUAGACUCUUCAACACAGACGGGUUAGUUAGACUCUUCAACACAGACGGGUUAGUUAGUCUCUUCAACACAGACGGGUUAGUUAGUCUCUUCAACACAGACACGGGUUAGUUAGUCUCUUCAACACAGACACGGGUUGGUUAGUUAGUCUCUUCAACACAGACACGGGUUAGUUAGUUAGUCUCUUACACACAGACGGGUUGGUUAGUUAGACUUACACACAGACGGGUUAGUUAGUUAGACUUACACACAGACGGGUUAGUUAGUUAGUUAGACUUACACACAGACGGGUUGGUUCGUUAGACUUACACACAGACGGGUUAGUUAGUUAGUCUUACACACAGACGGGUUGGUUAGUUAAGUCCGAACUACUCCCGGAAGAGACUGUCACAUCCAACACAGGAUGUAUUUGAGGAUGACAGGGUCUAGUUUUCUAGCUGUUCAGUUCCUAGUCAAAGCUGUAAGUCAACUCUGGCAUCAUGUGUUUGUGUUUGUGGUCAGAAUUGAUUCUAUGCAACAUUUUGUAUUUGUAUGGCUUUAAACCUGGAUUAAAGAGCCGGUUAGAUGUAGAUGCUUUGGUGGUUCUGUGACAGUCCCAUCUUGAC